UUUGCAAAGAAAAAAAGUAAGAAAACUGGAGACAGACUCACGUCCUUUCCCACCAGAGAAAUGAGCCCUCGCUGUUGCUGGAAGUGCUAACUAUGGUGUCAUGCAGUGGAAGAGUUGGGGAAUCUCCCAAUAACUCGGUCUCUGAUAAAAGAGACUAACAUCCUGCAGUCAGAACAUCCUCCAGCUCACCUG
rnacentral:lncRNA from 1 species